rnacentral:rRNA from 1 species
AUUGGAAGUAAAAGUCGUAACAAGGUUUCCGUAGGUGAACCUGCGGAAGGAUCAUUACUGAAUGAACUUGACUUGGUUGCUGCUGGUCUUUUCAAAGGCAUGUGCACACCUUGUCAUCUUUAUAUCUCCACCUGUGCACCUUUUGUAGACCUGGAUUCAACAUUCCGAGGCAACUCGGUCGUGAGGAAUUGCUUCACAGCUUUCCUUGUAAGUUUCCAGGCCUAUGUUUUUCAUAUACACCAUAAGAAUGUAACAGAAUGUCAUUAUUAGACUUCAUUGUCUUAUAAACUAUAUACAACUUUCAGCAACGGAUCUCUUGGCUCUCGCAUCGAUGAAGAACGCAGCGAAAUGCGAUAAGUAAUGUGAAUUGCAGAAUUCAGUGAAUCAUCGAAUCUUUGAACGCACCUUGCGCUCCUUGGUAUUCCGAGGAGCAUGCCUGUUUGAGUGUCAUUAAAUUCUCAACCUUUGUCAACUUUUUUGGUUGACCAAUGGCUUGGAUGUGGGGGUUUUGCAGGUUUCUCUUUUGAAAUCAGCUCCCCUGAAAUGUAUUAGCUGGUUGCGUUGUGUAGACCUGUCUAUUGGUGUGAUAAUUAUCUACGCCGUGGACUGUUUGCCAUUUUAGCACUGCUUCUAACUGUCUGUUCAUUCAGACGAUAUAUGACAAUUGACCUCAAAUCAGGUAG